AUUCUCCCAUCCUUUCGUUUAAUAGAUCUUGUGCAAUUGCGCUCAGCCUCCGUUUAGAUGUCGCUCUUUGUAUUUGGAUGAUAUUCGCUUCCGAGACAUGUUCAGUUCCAGCGCGUCCAUUCCGCACUGGCAGAGGAAAGUCCUAUCUUCUCUAUAAACACGAUGGCCGGAGAUGCCCCCACACUGCACUGUCCCCUCUGCCACCGCCUCUGCUCGCUCGUUGUCCCCUCUCUGCUGCUUCUCCUCGUCUGUUGCCCCGUACAGCUCGCGGCGUUCCCUUCCUCCCUCAGCGACUGCCAGACGCCUACAGGCUGGAACUGCUCCGGUUUUGAUGACAAAGAAAACGAUCUCUUUCUUUGUGACACCAAUACAUGUAAAUUUGAUGGAGAGUGUUUAAGAAUUGGAGACAGUGUAACCUGUGAUUGCCAGUUCAAGUGUCCCCAUGAUUACAUCCCAGUUUGUGGCUCCAAUGGUGUCACUUUUCGCAAUGAAUGCUAUCUAAGAGGAGCUGCCUGCAAACAGCAGAGUGAAAUACUUGUAGUUUCUGAAGGAUCCUGUAUAGCAGAUGGUGGAUCAGGCUCUGGUGAUGGAGUGAAUGAAGGAUCUGGGGAAACAAGCCAAAAGGAGACAUCCACUUGUGACAUAUGCCAGUUUGGGGCAGAAUGUGAUGAGGAUGCAGAGGAUGUGUGGUGUGUAUGCAACAUUGACUGUUCACAUAUCAGCUUCAAUCCAGUCUGUGCUUCAGAUGGGAAAUCAUACGAUAACCCAUGUCAGAUCAAAGAGGCUUCAUGUCAGAAACAGGAAAAAAUUGAAGUCAAGUAUUUGGGUCGAUGUCAAGAGAAUACUACAGAAAGUACCAAAUCUGAAGACAGUCAUUUUGCAAGAACAGAUUACACAGAGAAUGCAAAUAAAUUAGAAGAGACUGCAAGUGGUCUGGAUAUUCCUUGCCCUGAACAUUAUGUUGAUUAUUGUGUACAUGGGAAGUGUGAGCACACUGUUAACAUGCUGAAGCCGUGGUGUAGAUGUGAUACAGGCUACAGUGGGUCUCAUUGUGAAAAGAAAGACUUCAAUGUGUUAUACGUGGUUCCAGGCCCAGUCCGUUUUCAGUAUGUCUUGAUAGCUGCUGUGAUUGGAACUAUUCAGAUUGCUGUCAUUUGCAUUGUUGUCAUCUGCAUAACAAGGUCAAGACAACAGCAGCAGAACACCAGGCACAGAAAAAGAGAGAAGGAGGCACAAAAAUAAUUCUAGCUGGAGAUGGCAUGGUUCCAGAGAAAUAAUGCUUCACCCCAAAGCAGUGGUACAACUGAUCUCCUUCAAAGAAAAUGCCUUUCAUUUGCAAAAAGGAGGACCACCUGUUCAUCUUUUCUAUCUCUUAGUGUCUAAAAACUAGAUUCUGAUUCGGUACGGCGAUUCUGAUCUGUGUAUGACCCUGGUCUGUGACCUUGACUACGCUUCUGCUUCCUGAAUUGGUACCGUACAGUCUGUUUGGUUUUGACCUGACCUGUCCCCUGACCUCACCCCUUGUACCCUGUUCCAGUGAUACGUUACGGUUCCCUUGCCUGCCCAGAGCUUUCCCCUUGGACCUCUUGCAUUAAGUCCUGGUGGCAUCUGAGUAGCGGAGGGCUCCUCCCGAACCUAAAGGCGGCAGAAGUGCGAACCAAGACUGAAAAUGUCCAAGAACCAACAGAAUCUA